CACGUAGGGCGCAAGCGUUGUCCGGAAUUAUUGGGCGUAAAGAGCUCGUAGGCGGUCUGUUGCGUCCGCUGUGAAAACUCGGGGCUUAACCCCGAGCCUGCAGUGGAUACGGGCAGGCUAGAGGUAGGUAGGGGAGAAUGGAAUUCCUGGUGUAGCGGUGAAAUGCGCAGAUAUCAGGAGGAACACCGGUGGCGAAGGCAGGUCUCUGGGACGCUACUGACGCUGAGAAGCGAAAGCAUGGGGAGCGAACAGG
rnacentral:rRNA from 1 species